AUGGAUACUCUACCUCACACAGAUUUUGUGAGAUUGGCAGUCAUGCUUUGGUCCAUUUGGUCCACUCGACGGAAAUUUAUACAUGAGGGCAUUACCCAGAACCCGCAUGCCACGCAUCUGUUCAUCAAUCGGUUCAUCUCUGAAUUUGAACUGCUACAGGAGAGAAAGAAAACAGUUUUGCAACCAGUACCCCGGGAGAUAAGGCCAACAGCACCUCCGAGUGGAUUUGCAAAAAUCCAUACUGACGGGGCGGUCCGGCAAAAUUGUGGAGGCUCUGCUGCAGCUGUAUGUCGGGAUGAUGCGGGUAACUACCUAGGGAGCUCUUCCCUUGUCAUUGAUGGGCAGACUGAUCCGGCCAUACUCGAGGCAAUUGCUAUUCGAGAAGCGAUGGCCCUGACAGAAGAUCUUCUUGUUCAAGAUUUCGUUAUUUCCUUGGACUGCAAGCAAGUCAUUGAUGACAUAAAAAAGGGUAAUCAAGGACACUACGGAUCCAUCAUCACAGAGAUAAAACUUCAAGCUUCUGGUUUUAGAUGUAAUUUUAUAUUCAAAGGCCGAGCCGUCAAUGGCGAGGCCCAUAGUUUAGCUAAGCACUCUCUUACUCUCGGUCCGGGGCGCCACGCUUGGUUGGUCAACCGCCACGAUUCGAAUUGUAUCCCAUCUCAUGUGGAUUAUCAUCAAUAA
rnacentral:rRNA from 1 species